AGGAUUAGGAGCUUUUCUCACCACUUGUAUUAUCAGGAUGGAGAACUGAGUCAUGUUAAAUUACAGGGGGAAGAGAUAUUCCCAGAAAUUCCACAGAUCGGAGAUUGACUUGCUCCUUCACUCUGGAUCCUGACCUCUGUGCAUCAGUUGGAAAGCCGAGCUCCGUAUCUUUUGUAAGUUCAGCUAAUGUGUAGUUUUGUGUCUGAUGGUUCAGCUACGCAGUGAUAUGAUCUGUUGCACAUUAAAAGACCGCAGUUGCCACAAUCAUCACCUUGUUUGGUCUGAGAUAGAGCUGUGUAUUUUCAGAAGACUUGAGAGAAAGGUGUCAUAGUGGUGAGAAUUGCUGAGUGCCCUCAAAUAGGAGCCAAGGCCGAUCAGCUGUUUGGAGGAGAAAUCAGGCUUUUACCUUGCAGCGUGAAGCACGCUCUCCCCACUGAGAAGGUUGCCAUCAAAGCACUGAGGCUGAAAUUUUGUGCUGUGUGUUGACUGAAGU